GACGGAGGGUGCUAGCGUUGUUCGGUAUCACUGGGCGUAAAGGGCGCGUCGGCGGCGGGUCGAGUCGGUUUGUGAAAGCCCGGGGCUCAACCCCGGAGGUGCGGCCGAUACUGAUCUGCUCGAGGCCGGAAGAGGAGGGUGGAAUACCCAGUGUAGAGGUGAAAUUCGUAGAUAUUGGGUGGAACACCGGUGGCGAAAGCGGCUCUCUGGUCCGGACCUGACGCUGAGGCGCGAAAGCGUGGGGAGCAAACAGG
rnacentral:rRNA from 1 species